GGAAGAAAGUGUUUGAUGAGAAAGAAGAUAGUAGUGAUGCCUUACACGUGGAUCCUGCGUUAAGCUGACAAAGUGCUUGUGCCUCUGUGACAUGGUUAGAGUUUCACGCAGACCCGGGGAGGGGCAGUGCAGAUGUGGAAAAGUCGUGCAUAAAGAGGUAAAAGUUACAGUUUCCUCAAGGUGAGCUGGUGGAAUCAGGAGGAUGGGUCAUUCAGUGCUCCCCUUAAUACAGUUCAAAAGGCGGAAAUACCUCAAACUUCAGGGGUCACUCCCCAAGUACCACGUUACCCCGUGUGGGGGCGCUAUGAAGCUGUAUUUUGAAAUACCGACCGGGUCUAUUUGAUCAGGAUUUCCGGCCCCACCCCCACCCACCCUCCACACUCUGACAGCAGUAACCCGCAUUCUAGGCGACUAGCUUCAGGGGCAGAGGGAGAAAGAGAACAUUCCCAGCUUUCAAGAGUUUCAAGAGAGACACUGAAAAGGCAACAAACGCAAUAGUUUGAAAGGUCUUGCGCCUCAGUAACGAGGUUUUCACGUGACGCAAGGUAUUUCUUCUCCACGUGGACAUUUUGAUAAAUUUAGUCUGGAAUAUUGUGUUUGUGCACCAGGACAUCAAAAUGGAAAGUCGGGGGAUCACUGUUACUUCAACAAAUAACAAAUUAUAAAGCAAGGGACGUCAGUGGAGUUAUCAAGGUUCGAAAGUGUCUCAGGACCCAUUUACCAUCGAGUUAGGCCUCAGCACUCCUGGGAAACAAUGCCCAGAUGAAGAAACUGAGAUUGGAGGAUAGAGGUCAUACAAACACUGGGUAGCAAACUUGGGACUCACAGAAGCCCUUUCCAUGCCGACGGUGGCCCCCACAACCCCCUAAACUGUAAGCUUUGGGUUUCGGUUGAUUCCUGACUCCACCUGUCUUCUCUGACCUUAAAAUCCAGAGGUGAAACUACUGAGGCUUCAGAUCACACAAAGACGUGUCGCGCUAAGGAAAAGUCACUGCCUCCAGCACACUCUGCGUUGUCUUGACCCGCUGCCUGUGUCACCAGAGUUGCCCUUCUCCUCAAGACCCAGCGCAAAACCCACCUUCUCUGUGAGCCCUUUCCCAACCCCCAGAACUGGAAGCAAUCCCUCUUUGCCCCACACUCGCAUAGAUCUUUUUCUCCUCUCUCCUUUGGAACCCUUACCACCUUAUUUCCCUGGUACUCAGAAACAGUUGGAAACAAUGUGUGAAACUCUGCUUGUAUGCCCGGGAGUGGGAUUGCUGGAUCAACCCGUACAUUUAUUCUCGGUUUUUUAAGGAAACUCCAUACUGUUUUCUAUAGUGGCUGCACCAAUUUACACAUUCCCACCAACAGUGGAAGAGGGUUCCCUUUUCUCCACACCCUCUCCAGCAUCUUUUGUUUGUAAAUUUUUUGAUGAUGGCCAUUCAGACUGGUGUGAGGUCAUACCUCACUGUAGUUUUGAUAUGCAUUUCUCUAGUAAUUUAGUGAUGCUGAGCAUGUGCCUCUUAGGCAUCCAUAUGUCUUUUUGAAGAAAUGCCUAUUUCGGUCUUCUGUCCAUUUUUUGAUUGGGUUGUUUGUUGUUUUGAUAUUGAGUUACUUGAGCAGUUGGAGGGGUGGAGUGGGAAGGAAGUCCGAGAGAGGGGAUAUAUGUAUAAAUAUAGCUGACUCACUUCAUUGUACAGCAGAAAUUAAU
rnacentral:lncRNA from 1 species